UACAGAGGGGGCGAGCGUUGUUCGGAAUUACUGGGCGUAAAGGGCGCGUAGGCGGCCUGCUAUGUCGAACGUGAAAUCCCCGGGCUCAACCCGGGAACUGCGUCCGAAACUGGCAGGCUUGAAUCCGGGAGAGGGAUGUGGAAUUCCAGGUGUAGCGGUGAAAUGCGUAGAUAUCUGGAGGAACACCUGUGGCGAAGGCGGUUCUCUGGGCAUUACCUGACGCUGAGGAGCGAAAGUGUGGGGAGCGAACAGG
rnacentral:rRNA from 1 species